UAAAUUGUACAAAUAGACAAAGUAGUUCCAGAGUUAUUACACUUUUUUUCAUGGGUGUGCCAUUUUUGGAGCAGAGGCUUGUUUCCAAUUAAGCUUGCGGUUUAUUAAUGAAAUCUGGACAAAUAUAGAUGUGACUUAGUAGUUCACUUCACGCUGAAUCAACUGUGAUGAAGUUGGUUUCUAUUUCAUGGUUCAGAUACUUGAUGCCCGUCCAGCUGAACUUGAUCUUGUAUUUGUGCCUCUGCAGCUGUCUCCAUCUAUCAAAGGCACCAUCAUCCUCGGCAUGUGUGAAGGGCUGUUUCACCUCCACUCCAGAGAUAUUGUCCAUCAAGACCUCAAGCCUGACAACAUCAUGGUGGAGCACGGUACAAACAGAGCCGUCAUCAUUGACCUCGGACUGGCAAAGUUUUUCAAAUUUGGCCUCAGCUCUGCCAUGGACAUGGGGAACCCGGCCUACUCGGCCCCUGAGGUUCUGCAGAUGGGCACCCAGAGGGACCAGCGCUCGGACGUGUGGGCCAUGGGGAAGAUCAUCGCGGAGCUCUGCGCCCGCAUUCGACUUCACACGCCCAGCGUCUGCCCCGCCAAGAUCAGGGACGUCAUGGGGGAUCAGCCGUACUGCCAUUCCGUGUGUAGGAUGGUGGACCCCAACCCGUCUCUGAGGGCUUCCGUGGGCGGGGUCAUCGACGACAUUCGAAGGGCCGCAGGCGCAAGCGCGGUCACCAAUACGGCGGUUCAGAAAGAGCACCUCAAGCCACCUCAAGUUGAUGUCACAAUCCCGUCUCCGGCGGACCAAGGUGCAGCUCCAGGGAAUAGAGGUCUGCCACACUUUAACAGAGACCCGUCACCUAUGAACAGAGGUCUGCCACACUUUAACAGAAACCCAAUACCCCACACAAGAAUCCACAUGUGGAACCUACCCCCAAACCAGCCUUAA
ensembl:lncRNA